rnacentral:rRNA from 1 species
GACGAACGCUGGCGGCGUGCUUAACACAUGCAAGUCGAACGGAAAGGCCCUGCUUUUGCGGGGUGCUCGAGUGGCGAACGGGUGAGUAACACGUGAGUAACCUGCCCUUGACUUUGGGAUAACUUCAGGAAACUGGGGCUAAUACCGGAUAGGAGCUCCUGCUGCAUGGUGGGGGUUGGAAAGUUUCGGCGGUUGGGGAUGGACUCGCGGCUUAUCAGCUUGUUGGUGGGGUAGUGGCUUACCAAGGCUUUGACGGGUAGCCGGCCUGAGAGGGUGACCGGCCACAUUAGGACUGAGAUACGGCCCAGACUCCUACGGGAGGCAGCGGUGGAAAAUAUUGCCCAAUAAGCGGACGCCUGUUGCAACGACGCCGCGUGCGAUAAGACGACCUUCGGUUUGUAAGCCGCUUUCGCCUGUGACGAAGCGUAAGUGACGGUAAUGAGUCAAGAAGCACCGGCUAACUACGUG